AUGCUCUGUUCGAUAGCACCUAUACUAAAAUUGGAACAAUACAGAGAAGAUUAGCAUGGCCUCUCACAAGGAUGACGUGCAAAAUUGUGAAGAAUUCUAUAAUUUA
rfam:Canis lupus familiaris chromosome 5, whole genome shotgun sequence.